rnacentral:rRNA from 1 species
UUAUUGGGUAUCAAAACCUAAUAGCGAAAUUAACAUAACUUAUUAUGGGAUUAGUUUUUAGAUUAUUUAUAGUCUAUUAAUUCAAUCCCGGGGCGUUCUAUUUGGUUAUGUAUAAUAAUAUUUAUAUUAUUUAUACCUCUAACUAGAGCGUACCUUGAGCAUAUAUGCUGUGACCCGAAAGAUGGUGAACUAUACUUGAUCAGGUUGAAGUCAGGGGAAACCCUGAUGGAAGACCGAAACAGUUCUGACGUGCAAAUCGAUUGUCAGAAUUGAGUAUAGGGGCGAAAGACCAAUCGAACCAUCUAGUAGCUGGUUCCCUCCGAAGUUUCCCUCAGGAUAGCUGGUGCAUUUAGAAAUUAUGUAAAAUAAUCUUAUCUGGUAAAGCGAAUGAUUAGAGGCCUUAGGGUCGAAACGACCUUAACCUAUUCUCAAACUUUAAAUGGGUAAGAACCUCACCUUUCUUGGUAUGAAGGUUGUGGUUGUGAUAUAAUGUGCCCAGUGGGCCACUUUUGGUAAGCAGAACUGGCGCUGUGGGAUGAACCAAACGUAAUGUUACGGUGCCCAAAUUAACAACUCAUGCAGAUACCAUGAAAGGCGUUGGUUGCUUAAAACAGCA